ensembl:snoRNA
AGCUACUGAUGAUUUUUGUAAUUUCUGACACCUCGUAUGAGGCCGCAUGGCCCGAUGAUUCUUCUCUAACAAACUGAAGCUU